CUUUUAAAAUGCGAAAAUGUCACAUUUUUCUCAGCCAGCCGACGAGAAAAACAAGUUGAUAUUUGGCGUCUAAACACGUGACUUGUUUUGCCUAACAACAACCAAUCGCAUGCUCCUAUUUGAAAUACGUCACACAGCGCUACCUUCGAAUAUGAGUCAAAACAGCUGAUAUGUGCAGUGCUGGAACAAGGAGCUUCAAACCUGAUAAAGUGAGACGGCAACCGAAGAAAGACAAAACAUGGAUACAAGAAAUGCAAGAAAAGUGGAGUUGCACACCAUUCAUCCUAACCAACAGCCACCUACUCCAAGUCUGGCCAGGAGAAAGAAGAUACAAGAAACGACUGACAUUAGGAGCCCAACGGACAGCAUGAUGUCUCCAUGUUCGCGAAAGCUCCAUGGGAAACCUGCCAAAGAUAUAAACACAACUCCACAUAUGUCCAGGUAUAAGAGUGUGGACAAAGAAAACGUUCCUCGUGAAUAAACUAACUUUUAAAAGGCCUCAGCCUCCUAACCUCCUGUUACCAACUUAGCUCAUGUACAUUGUUCUCAGUAGCGCUGGUGACCUUUGUUCCUUUCAUUCUCAAAAGAAUCAAAGUUAUUAUUCUUGGCUGUCAGUGCUAGUCUGGAUGCUAAACAGUAAAACCCUGUAACACAAUAGGCAGAGGUACAAAGUGUUAUGGUGGACUAGUUCACUUUAAGCAGUGAAGUUAGGCUGUAAAGCAGCCUAGAGCCUUUUCCGGCAGUUUGAUAGGGCAGGGUGGUGGGAUUAUAAUGGACCGUUGCCUUGGGGGAGCUGUAGGGGUGUACCCUCUGUAAAUAAAUAAAUAAAUUCACUAACCUUUUUGGACCUUUUCACAUCUGAAGGUGGUCAAUCACCUGCCCUCCUCCAACAAACCAUUCCACAUCCCCCAACUAAUUUGCAGUCCUGUAGUCAUAACUUUUUCAAAGGGCUCCACAAGCUAUAACUAAGAUGCAUUUACUAAUGAAGUGGUCACCUAGAAGAUAUUUAAAAGCCUAAGAUAAGAGACAAUCAAAAUGCUCCACACUGUAAAAAGUGCC
ensembl:lncRNA